ACUUGACAGUAUCUCAUACACCCCUAGAGGAGCCUGUCCUAUAAUCGAUAACCCACGAUAUACCUCACCCGUCCUAGCACCACUCAGCCUAUAUACCUCCGUCGCCAGUCCGCCUGUUAACAGACACUAAAGCGAAUAUAAUAGUUAACCCCCUCAUACGACAGGUCAAGGUGUAGCUAAUGAACUGGGCAAAGAUGGGCUACAUUUUCUUUAUUAGAAAAUACCCACGUACUAUGCAAACUGUACAAAAGGUGGAUUUAGCAGUAAGCGGGACAAGGCAAGCCCAUCUGAAGCCAACCAUGAGAUGUGUACACACC
rnacentral:rRNA from 1 species